UAUAAAGCCCAGUGACUGAAAUUCUCUAUUUACGGGUACAGCAUGGGCAGCAGCGGUGCAAGUUUCCCCACACUGCUCCACUAGUGUGCCUAACCCUGCCUUGAAGAGCUUAUCUCUAGUUUGAGCCUCAGGCCAAAUCAGUCUGGUCUAUCUGCUGAACCUAC
ensembl:misc_RNA